rnacentral:sRNA from 1 species
ACAUGUUCUCAGGAGGGCCAUACAGGCUGCCCCAUUCUCUAAGUAGCCUGAGAUUUGAAAUUCAGAUCUUGUGUUAUUAAGAAAACUCUAGGGUCUACCUCCUAUGAGUGUGUUGUAGUGGAAUUUUGUUCAGCAGAAUCCCAUGAUGGAGGUUGUUUGUUAAAAAACAGGUUUUUUUUCUUUUCUUUUCUUUUCUUUUCUUUUCUUUUCUUUUCUUUUGUUUGUGAGACAUGAUUAGAUUCAGAACCUCAGGCUCUCCCACUAACAGGAAUAUGCUGUUUUCCUGCUUCCCAGUGACGCCAAUGCCCCCUUUGCCCAGUGGAGCACAGAGCGUGUGUGUGCAUGGCUGGAGGACUUUGGCCUGGCUCAGUAUGUGAUCUUUGCCAGGCAGUGGGUAUCUUCUGGCCACACUUUAUUGACAGCCACCCCUCAGGACAUGGAAAAGGAGCUAGGAAUUAAGCACCCACUCCACAGGAAGAAGCUUGUUUUAGCAGUGAAAGCCAUCAACACCAAACAGGAGGAGGAGUCUGCACUGCUAGACCACAUUUGGGUGACAAGGUGGCUUGAUGAUAUUGGCUUACCC